rnacentral:rRNA from 1 species
UGGGCAACCUGCCCUCAGCUCUGGGAUAACUCCAAGAAAUUGGGGCUAAUACCGGAUAUGACUGCUGACCGCAUGGUCUGGUGGUGGAAAGAUUUAUCGGCUGGGGAUGGGCCCGCGGCCUAUCAGCUUGUUGGGUGGGGUAGUGGCCUACCAAGGCGACGACGGGUAGCCGGCCUGAGAGGGUGACCGGCCACACUGGGACUGAGACACGGCCCAGACCUCCGUACGGGA